rnacentral:lncRNA from 1 species
CGUGCAGCCGCGAGGGACGACGGGAAGAAGGUGCCCAGGAGCCGCCCUCCCCUCGCUGGGCAGCCAGGCCUCAGGCUUGGCGGCCUUAGGGGCUGGGCCGGGAGCCCGCGGAGAGGACAAGGAGGAGGCUGCGGUGAUUGCCCCCGAGGGCUCCGUGGGUGCGUACUCACCGCCCGGGGCCCUCGGGAGGCAGCGGCCUGCUCUCCACUCCACACCCCCAGGGCCGCCAUGGAUCUGGCUGCUCCGCGCGGGAGCUGCAGGUCUCUUCUUCAUUUUGUGGGUGUGCCAGGAUUGGAGGCUGGGACUACCUGGUGAAAGGAUGGAGAUUUCCUCUGCAGAGACUGGAAGGACAGCAGGUGUGGGAAGUUGCUAGAGGGUGAAUUGUGUUCCUUCCCAGGUUAAUAUGCUGAAGCAUAUUAAGGUCACUAAGCAUAAAUAAUGUCACUAAGGUUGGGCUCUGUAGGAGAUAAUUGAGGUUAAAUAAGGUCACUAGGGCUGGGCUCUGAUCUGAUGGGACUGAUGUCUUUACAUGAAGAGGAAGAGACACCAGUGGGGCUCUUGUCUGGGGAAAAGGCAGAGUGAAGACACAGUGAGAAGCCAAGGAGAGAGGCCUCGGGAGAAACCAGCCCUGCCAACACCUUCAUCUUGGAUUUCUGGCCUCCAAAACUGUAAGAAAAUGAAUGGCUGCUGUUAAGCCACCCGGCCUGUGGUGCUUUGUCACUGGAGUCCCGGCAGGCACAUACCGAAGCUAAUGAUGGAGACGAAGAGAAGAUGAACUGGGAUGUGUCUCCGUCAACCCUCAAUUGUCCAAGGACUUAAACACAGAAUUGAGCAGGGUGGGGAUAGUGUCCUCGUUUUGCUGCCCUGGGAGAAAGCUGGCUUAGCCAGUCAUGAGAGGGCGGCACCAUACCCAGGGUGGCUUGUAGGGGUCCCAUGGUGUUGGAGUUCUGAAGAGCUGGCAGUGCUGGGGCUCCAUUUGGUGGGUCCAGCUAUCACAUCAUGAUGGAGGGUAGGGGGCAGGAGGAAUGGCAAGUCCUCUGCAUUCUCUGUUGCUUGUCCAGACUCUGUGCUGCCUGACUGCAGGAUCUCAAUACCACAGUCACCUGGAGAAAGGCCCCAACUCUUCUCCUCAGCCCCGUGGGGGUGCAACUGUCAGAACCCCCUGAGAAGGGCCCUCCUCACCUUUGUCUUCCAUAACCUCCCAGCCUGUCUUUCUGGAUCUCCUCCUGCUGGGAUUAAGCCAGAUCACUUGGAGCCAAAUCACUAACUGUCAAAUCACCUAAAACUAAUUGGCUUAAUUAUCAAUUUGCCUAAUGGUAUAUUUAACUAAAAUCUAUAUUUAUCAAAUUUACAUUGCUCACAUGACAGAGCAAUUCCGGCUCCGUCAGAGGUUCCACGUCGAUUCAGUUGUCUUCUGUGUUUGCUUGUUUUUGAUAAUAUCACAAAUUUUUAGCUGGUCUAAGGAUAUUUCUGUCUCAUUUUAAUAUUUCAGAUAAGAAUUGGUCAAAUUUGUAUUCACCUUAUAAGUGAAUAUAAAUAAGAAUUGAUCAACUUUAUAUUCACCUGGUAAGUUUUUGAGAAGCCUUUUUGUCGCCUUUGUGAACCGUAUUGUUUGUUUGCUUGUGUUUUGAGACAGGGUCUCAGCUGUGUCAGGCAGGCUGGAGUGCCAUGGCGCCACCAUGGGUCACUGUGGUCUUGACUUUCCAGGCUCAAGUGAUUCCUCUUCCACGAGUAGCUGGGAUCACAGGCGUGCGCCACCAUGCCUGGCUAAUUAAAAAAAAUUUUUUUUUUCAGGAGAGACAGGGUCUCACUACAUUGCCCAAGCUGGUUCUUUUUCUGUUUUUAAGAUUGUACUGAUUUCCUUUUGUUUUCAGCAGUUUUAUUAUGAUGGAAAUAAACAUUAGUUUUCUGUAUGUUAA